rnacentral:rRNA from 1 species
GACAGAGGAUGCAAGCGUUAUCCGGAAUGAUUGGGCGUAAAGCGUCUGUAGGUGGCUUUUUAAGUCCGCCGUCAAAUCCCAGGGCUCAACCCUGGACAGGCGGUGGAAACUACCAAGCUGGAGUACGGUAGGGGCAGAGGGAAUUUCCAGUGGAGCGGUGAAAUGUGUAGAUAUUGGAAAGACCACCGAUGGCGAAGGCACUCUACUGGGCCAUGACUGACACUGAGAGACGAAAGCUAGGGGAGCAAAUGGG